AUUAGUGAUUAUAGAGGAGGAGUUUUGUCAUUGAUGGGAACCAACGUCAUAUUUAUGAUAUUGUGGCUGCAUUACUUUUGUUUGGGAGAGGUACUAGAGAACCAGUAACACAGAUAAAAGAUGCAGUUCCUAAGAGAUCCAAAGUCAGCAGCACCUAAGACUAUACUGAUCAUGACUUUGAAUUAUCAGCAUCCAAAACAAUGCAAAUCAAAUACAGGUUUUGUCUGUACAUCUGGCAAUCUUGGGGCAAUACUGGAUGGUUUUAACUCCAGCAUGAAGACCAGCCAUGUGCCUCACCUGUCAUGACAUUAUUAAAGUACUUUGUGACAGUGGGAUGAUGGAAUAUUAAAGAAUGGACAUGGCUCUAUAUUACUGCAUCAGAGAUCAAUCCAGGUUUACUUAUAAAUCAAAGAAAAACACUUAAACAGUCAAGCAUCAUUUGAAGCUACAUGUGUCACCGCUUUAACAAUAUGCCUGCUUAUAUAACCAAGAAAGCACAGUGACCAGUUGUACCUAUGAUGUCGGACAAGAUCCCAAAAAAACUUCCAGUACA